UCUCCCCAUGGAAACGUGGGUCCUAAGGCCAAAGGAGCAAUAGAGUUUGCCUUCUGGUCUAAGGGGCCAUGGGAUUUCCCUGCAUUCAUACCUGUUUGAAGUAGAGUGAAAACGUAGCACUGUACUCCUUCCCAUUUAAUAGACUAUGAAUUUCAGAGACAAAACUGUAGCUCCAGGUGGAACGCCAACACAUUGCAAGCAUCUGCAUUGCAGUUCUCCAGCAUUUGAAUACAGCUCCGUUACCAAAAACUGCCAGAGGUCCAUCAGCAGCUCUGUGUGACCCAGAGAGCACAGUGAGAAGGCUAUUUUCAUAACACGGACACAAGACAUUAUCUUGACUGAGAUUCCCAGCACGAGGCUAACUGGGAGGCGACGGCUGACACUGCACACAGCUGCGACUCGCCAAGGCAGAGCUGAGCCAAGAGCAAGAAGCCAUUAGAAGGACUGCAGUGCUGUCAGAUCACAGGGAGAAAAAGGUGGCACACCCCAUCCAGGAUUCUGCCCCCAGUGCUCUGCAGUGUGUAACUUCAGGCUGUAAGAUCCUCUGCUCACUGCUGUCCGGGCUGGGAGGUUAAUAAGGGGAGGCACUGAAUGGUGGACCUAAAAAUUAAAGACCAGUAGGGCUUUCUGCAGGAAUUUACGGGUAACUUUAAAGAGUGUCACAUCACAAAGACAUCCGAGUGACUCUGAAAGCAGAUUCUACUUUAUUCUCCCUGUUUGAGUUACCCGAACUGAAAGUAAUUAUCCACUGAGUAUUCAAGAGAGCCUGUACAAACGUCAGUGAUGGAUGAACAUGCAAUGGACUCCGUUCCCUGAGACCCCAUCCAGCAUGAAUCUGAGACAGCAUCUAACUCAACAGAAGUCUGAUCCACUUUGCAAACCCUUCCACCACCAGCCUGUACCUGCUGGCUCUGCACACCCUGAGCCACAUGCUGCUCUCAGCAUCUCUGCUGAACAGUGUUACAGGUGCUUUCUGGCUCGAAGCCCUCUGGAUGUGACUCUCCAAGGCCACACAGUGGCCCAUUGCCCUUCCACAGAUGGUUUCCCCCCCUCCCUCACCUCCCCUCCCCAAAAUAAAAAUGAAGUCUCUUUGCAAUUCUGCAUUCUGCUGUGACCGACAGCACUGGGGUGAGACCACUUAGCACAGAUGGCAAAUUAUCCUUCCCAGCUGCUCCUGGGUAAUGGGGACCUUUUCCAGCUUCAUCACUCUUCAUCCUUGGGCUCCUCUUCUUCUGUGCUGCCAGUGGA